rnacentral:siRNA from 1 species
AAUUGUGUCUGUAGUAGUGCGGAU